AUUUUUUAAUGUUCUAGGUGAACUUAGAUAUAAAAACCUGAGUUUGAAGUAUGUCCCAAUGACUGAUUCAUUAUGUGAUUUUAUGCAAAGUUUAAUCUUCUGAGUCUCUGUUUUCUCUCCAGACAAUAGGGAUAAUGCAACCUACAUUAUGAGACAAUGGUAAUAAUUAAAUGAGAAAAUGUAUGUUAAAUGAUCAGAAGAUGGCCUGAUAAAGAAGAAACCUCACAGAUGCAUUAUUUUCUUUUCAUUUUUAUAUGGAAUAGGCUAUUGGUCAUCUGAACUGGUGAAAGAGAACAAAUGUUCCUAGUAAAUUCCACAGGGACAACUUUUGACUUUGAAAUAUGUCUCCUUUGAAUUUUGAAUAUAGUUAUUUCUGAUCUUCAGGGAAUUUAAACAACAUAAUGAAAUUAUAGAGCUAAUACCUAAUUCUAGACUCUUCUAAUUUUUUCUUGGGUUCAACUACAAGCUAAAAAAAGAGAACUCAUUUUAAAACUUCCCUAAGGCAGAAAUGAUGGUAAGUGUUUGAACUUCAAAGGGUUUGCCUAGUCAGAUGAGGACUGUAUGCUUAGUAAAAGUAAACAGAUAGGAAAGAGACCAAUAAGAACAGUAAUUAAAUAAAGUAUGUAGCUCAAAUAUCUAAUUAUGCUAUUUGCCUUAAAAAAUCUACGUGGGAUUUCUGUUUAGUUGUCUAUUAAUAUGAUUUUAGAGACAUGAGAAAGACUCCUGUAACAAUCUAUCCAGCUUGCCACCCAUAAAAUCUGAAACAUAUACCUGUAUUAUAACACGUCUCACUGUGUCCAAUGAUGUUUUUAAUAAUUUGUAGCCUGUUAAACAGGGCUUUAUAAAGACAGAGGACAGGUCUUGUACUUCUUUGCACUGAUCCUGAUGAUCAUUAGGAUACUCUAUAAAAGUUUCAUGUCAGAAAUUCUGUAUUCCUAUGUUUAGAGCUUUUGUGUCAUUGUGCAUGAGAUUAUAAUUAUUGUUGUCUAAAACUUUAUAUAAUGAUAGGAUCUUGGACAAGGAUGUGUCAGGUUGGGGCCUGGGGGAGGACAAGAACAUAAGAGACUAGAUACUUAAACAAUAAUGAAGCAAAUAAGAUGAUUUAGCUCAAUUCUUUAAAAAGCAGAGCCUGAGGUAAGGAUUAAGAUGCUAUGAUUUUAUUUAGAAGAUUCAAGCCCACUGAAGUAUAAAUGAAAAACAGAAGCAAAGCGAGGACGCCGCAGAGAAAUUUAAUGCCUUAUGUCACAACACUGGUCACCAUUGCAUGAUGAGUCACUAAGAGAUACUGCCAGAUGCAUAGUGAAUGUGUUCACACAACACAUAGAACUUCUUUGGAAGUGUGCUUCCAAGACAAAACUUAACCUUAGAGUAUUUAUAUGACAAUCUGUGGAGGUACUUACAGAAUCAGCCCUCCAGACUUACAGAAGCUGGGCUUCCCAAAUGAAACUACUACUUUCCAAUGCCUGGACUCAUAAUCCUUGCAAGAAUCCUGGUACAACAACUGCCUAUAAACACUUGCCAAGUCUGAGAUCAAGCUACUAAUUGAAGUAGUCACAAUAGGAGGUGUCUUCACUAUAAAAAUGUAUGAAAAUUUUGAGUAUAUUUACUGUGAGAAUGCUUUGCAAAGACUUCACAGAAAAGUAUUUCACAUUGUAAUAGUCCUGGAGCAUGAGUCAUCAGGCAGUAAUCAAGUUGUCUUUUUGAAUCAGAAUGAAGACCAUCAAUGUCAAGUUAGUGUUUUUAUGUCAUGAAUGGAAUGAGGGAGAGAUACCAUAGCUAUCUUUUCAGAGAGAAUCGGAUAUACUUUCCUGAUACACUUGGGACACCGUAAUCCUUGGCACAGGUUACAUCCAUGUUCUCAAAAAGGAGUUUGCAUUAUUUUUGCAGAAUGCGCUCAUGGGUCUCGUAUUAAAGUCUGUUCUGCUGUGGAGAUACAUCCAGAAGUUCAGCAUAAAUACACUGAUUUUCAAAAACCUAGGAAUUAUCCUGCUUAUACCUUUUAUUACCUGGAAAAAUUACUUCAAGUAAUUGGAUCUUGGUUUCCUCAUUUGUAAAAUGAAAAUAUUGUUAUUUACACCAUAUGGAUAUUAAAAAGAUUGAUAAGAUAACAUAUAUGAGAAUGAUCAGCAGAGUGUCUGGCAUGGAUACUUUGCCUUAAAAGUAUUGAAAUGAUAUUUGAAGUUUGAUAUUGUUGAUGCUGAUCGACUGCCUGUUUCACUGCAUUUGGUCUCUCUGGUCUUCUCUGGGAUUGCCAUCAAGAAUUUUAAAAUUUAUCCUUGGUCUGAACAGAGAGAAAGAAAUUCAUAUGACAUAUUUUUGCUUUUGGUCUGAACUUACAGAUUAACACUUUCCUUCUAGACACAUAUCCAUGUUUUUGAAGAGGUUCUCAUCUCUAAAUGAAUUCUUUCCUAAUUGUGUUUGUGUGUUAUACCCUGAUCUCCUGAUCCUGUUCUUCACUGUGGCUGCUAAAUUCUAAAAUUUCUGGUAUGGGAGUCCUUCCUUAUCAGCACAGGAUAUGUUCCAAAACUCUCAGUGGAUGCCUGAAACUGUGACUAGUACCCAACCCUAUAUAUACUAUAAUUUUUCCUAUAUAUAUGUACCUAUGAUAAAGUUUAAUUUAUAAAUUAGGCACAGUAAGAGAUUAACACAGUAACUCAUAAUAAAAUAAAGCAAUUAUAACAAUAUAUUGCAAUAAAAAUUAUGUGAAUGUGGUCUCUCUCUUUUAAAAUACUUUAGUAUUUUUGGACUGAGGUUGACUGUGGGUAACUGAAACCACAGAAAGCAAAAUCAUGGGUAAGUGGGGAAUGCUGUAUAACUCAUUCUGCAAACUCUCUAAACCCUUGCUUGCAUCUCACUAAGAAAUUUUAAAACAACUUUCCUUGCAAAAGUGAGAGCACAGCUAAUAAUGAAGGCAAAAUAAAAUAAAAGGUACACAGCCCAGUCCUAAGCUAUAGAUAAGCAAGGCAUCUAAUUAUUAAUCUGAUGUGAAAUGAUACUGGCCCCUAAAGAUCCUGUUAUGGGUAUUUUAUGGAUCAUGUUGAAACUAGUGUUCUUGCUGCUUAUUUUUCCUCCUGAUGAGGAGAGAAGCAAAAAUAAUCACAUGCUACGGCUUUGUGAAGAACUUGAAGGGAAAGUAAAAAAUGAGUUCUUCUCAUUUUUUUCCUUCUAGAUUCUAAUUCUUUUCACAUUUAACUGGGGAAUCAGUGAAAUUCAGCCCUUUUGACUCUUCAUAAAUGUGGGAUAAGUGGUGAAAACAGAACAUCAUGAUGAGAGACUCCAGACCUAGAUUAUUUAAUUAGUGUUUUGUCUUUGGCAAAGCCUUAAAUCUCUAUGUUUCCGAGUUUUCUCACUUAUUAAAUGGAGUAAGUAAUAGCUUCCUUACAUCACUGGGAUAUUUUGAGAAUAGAUAAAAUGAUGAAUGUCAAAAUUCUUUUGUAAAAAGCAAAAUGUUAUUUUUAGACAA
rnacentral:lncRNA from 10 species